rnacentral:rRNA from 1 species
AAGUCGUAACAAGGUUUCCGUAGGUGAACCUGCGGAAGGAUCAUUACCUAGAGUUGUAGGCUUUGCCUGCUAUCUCUUACCCAUGUCUUUUGAGUACCUUCGUUUCCUCGGCGGGUCCGCCCGCCGAUUGGACAUAUUCAAACCCUUUGCAGUUGCAAUCAGCGUCUGAACAAACUUAAUAGUUACAACUUUCAACAACGGAUCUCUUGGUUCUGGCAUCGAUGAAGAACGCAGCGAAAUGCGAUAAGUAGUGUGAAUUGCAGAAUUCAGUGAAUCAUCGAAUCUUUGAACGCACAUUGCGCCCCUUGGUAUUCCAUGGGGCAUGCCUGUUCGAGCGUCAUUUGUACCUUCAAGCUUUGCUUGGUGUUGGGUGUUUGUCUCGCCUCUGCGCGCAGACUCGCCUCAAAACAAUUGGCAGCCGGCGUAUUGAUUUCGGAGCGCAGUACAUCUCGCGCUUUGCACUCAUAACGACGACGAUCCAAAAGUACAUUUUUACACUCUUGACCUCGGAUCAGGUAGGGAUACCCGCUGAACUUAAGCAUAUCAAUAA